GGGAAACCACUCGCCUAACGAGUGGGCGUCCGGCGGAAAACUACAGGGCUUGGGACCGGAAGACUUGAGGGGUACGUCUGGGGUAGGAGUGAAAUCCUGUAAUCCUGGACGGACCGCCGAUAGCGAAAGCACCUCAAGACGACGGAUCCGACAGUGAGGGACGAAAGCUAGGGUCUCGAACCGGAUUAGAUACCCGGGUA
rnacentral:rRNA from 1 species